rnacentral:rRNA from 1 species
UGAGGAACAUGACCUUCGGCGGGGGAGUAGCCGGCCCAACGGCCGGGUAAUACCGCGUACGACCACAUGGGGACGAUCCCUGAGUGGUGAAAGCAGCAAUGCGCCGAUGGAGUGCCUCGCGGCCUAUCAGCUAGUUGGUGGGGUAACGGCCUACCAAGGCAACGACGGGUAGCUGGUCUGAGAGGAUGGCCAGCUACAUUGGGACUGAGACACGGCCCAGACUCCUACGGGAGCAG